rnacentral:rRNA from 1 species
GGGGAAUAUUGCACAAUGGGGGAAACCCUGAUGCAGCAACGCCGCGUGAGUGAUGACGGUCUUCGGAUUGUAAAGCUCUGUCUUUGGAGACGAUAAUGACGGUACCCAAGGAGGAAGCCACGGCUAACUACGUGCCAGCAGCCGCGGUAAUACGUAGGUGGCGAGCGUUGUCCGGAUUUACUGGGCGUAAAGGGAGCGUAGGUGGAUUUUUAAGUGGGAUGUGAAAUACCCGGGCUCAACCUGGGUGCUGCAUUCCAAACUGGGAAUCUAGAGUGCAGGAGGGGAGAGUGGAAUUCCUAGUGUAGCGGUGAAAUGCGUAGAGAUUAGGAAGAACACCAGUGGCGAAGGCGACUCUCUGGACUGUAACUGUCGCUGAGGCUCGAAAGCGUGGGGAGCGAAC